rnacentral:lncRNA from 1 species
GUAUGUCAAGUUAUUGGUUGAUAUUUUGCUUUAUACAGAAACUGUUUUCGGAUUGUUGCUGCAUUGCUGCAAAACAAAAUAGAUCAGUUAUUUCAAGUGUAACACUGACUUAGAUGAGUGACAAGCAUGUUUCAGUGGAGAACCACAAUGAAGAAAAUGUAUUUGAUUAAAGAGGAAGGGUUGCAUGUACUCAGUAUGUCUGCCCAUUGAGCAGUAGGUUUGUCAUCUGCUACAAAAAUGAUAAACAACAUGGUGAUGACCAUAUCCAUGCUAGGCAGUGCAUGCACUGGUUGAGAGCAACCAUUUCUGGAUACACAAGAAUUACAUUGACAGCAUGUUGAUGAGAAGCCACUUUAUGUAGGCUUUUGCUGAUCAGUUUGUUUUUUUUAUUCAUAACCAUGAAUAACUAUUUUGUCAACUUGUCCAUGAUGCAAUUGGUAUGGUUCUGAUAGUCAAGAGACAUAAUGCAAGACAGUCUUAGUGAAAUUAGUGUACAUGAAAUUACCUUUUAACUUUUAAGUACCUUAAACUUGCUUAACUACCAAAUCCUUGUCCAUCAGAUACCUGCACAUUACAAUGUGUACAUGCAUAUAAGUUUGCCACUGAGUUGCUAUUGCUUGUCCGCCUUUCAGGGAACGCCAUCUGGAGCUCGACAUAUUCCCAUCUUUACCAUAUUUUUGCCCAUAUUUAUUUUACAAGGUGCUGCUG